rnacentral:lncRNA from 1 species
AAACCCCGGGCUUGUCUUAUAUGUUUUCAUGAAGAUGAAAGCCCCAAUGCCCGUGCAAUAUGAAUCAGCUGUUGAGUGUUGUAGGUUGGCCAAUCUAUCGGUCUAUACCUGUGUCAAAGCAACAACGACAUCUUUGUUUCGCUUUUAAAAUUUUGAAGCCUUGUCACCAUUGUAUUUCGUCACCUCAGUGGGUAGUUAAUCAUGUGAAAUGUAAAUAAUAUUGAUGCCUCACCUUAAGCUUGUGGAGAUUUUUGGUGCCACAAAUGUGCAGUCAUGGAGGCAGAAACCAACCAUGGCGAGUUUAACGUGGGCACAUUCCGAUUUCUAAUGGUUUAGUGUCUAAAAAACUUCGCCACACUUGUUUUGAUUUUCUGUCAUUUUCUGGAAUUUUUUGUCAUUUUCUUAUGUUCUUCUAGAUUAUACCAUUCUCCAAUAUUUAGUUGUUUUUUGAUUUCGGGGUUUGAUUUCGAUGUUUACUGGAUUUCCUUUCCAAGAUAUGAUGUUUUUGUGAAAGUUCCUUAUAUUUGAUCCGAUCAUUCAUUCCUCUGGAUAUUCGUGUAAUAUGAGUUUUCUCUUAUACUUCAAGACAUCUAGCGUUUCAAUUACAUGAUGUUGAUGUUUUCUGUAUUAUUUUGAUGUUGGAAGUCAUAUUUGUUUGUAUGUUUCUUUUUUUUUGGAAUUUGGACCACUUGAUUUGGUUUUUGAUCAGUGAAUUGGAUGUUCUUCGUUUGGUUUCCAAUUAAUCAAUUGGGUUUGUUAUUUGCUGAUGAUGAUUUUGUCCAUGUUAGAGAUACUGGGGUUCCAAGUCCUUGUUUUACAAGGAGAACCUACUUGGAGUAGCCCUUGUAUUGCUAUGACCUUAUUGGAUAUUUAGUGAUGACUUUAAUUCUAAAUUUAUCCUCCAUUUUUUCUUCUAAAAGUUGGAUGUGCUAAAAGAGGCGAUGAUGUUUUGAUUUUGUUCCAUCUUGGAGAUGCAGGGGUUCCAUGUCCUUGUUCACAAGGAGAACCUACUUGGAGGUUCCUCUGCAUUCCUAUGACAUCAAUGGAUUUUAUCUGAUGCCAUAAUGCCUUUUCAUGCUUAUUCAACCACCUUGUGUAUGCUGUUUGUAUUAUCACAUUGCAUUACAUGAAUUAAUUUCUUUAAACAUGGUGCUUUGAUUUUUACAAGAUUGCCAAGUUUAAUAGCGAAUAAUUUGAACUUUGAAGUAUGAAUGACUUGUGAUUCAGUUUUUUUUUUUUUUUUUAAAUUCCAUGUUCUACGAACAUGGUGCUUUGAUUUUUAAAAGAUUUCCAAGUUUAUUGGAAAUUUUUGAAGUUUGAAGUAUGAGUGACUUGUGGUUCUGUCGUAUUAUUAUGCAAAAUUCAGCGAGGCCGGUGACGACAAUAUGCGUGUUGGAGGGCAAGGGUUCCAAGUCCUUGAAUACAAGGAGAACCUACUUGGAGUUGCUCUUGCCUUACUGUGACAUUACUGCUAGAUAGUAACUGAGGCCUUGAUGUCUCAUGCCAACAUCUGUUUGCUAAAUUUUUGUCAUAUAAUUGACAUUGGAAACUGUAUUCCUUGUAUUGUUUUGCCCUACUGACUCGCAUUUUGAAAUUGUAAAAACAAGCCAUUGCUGAUUUCAAUUUGUGAGGUGUUUUGCUUGGAUUUUGUUGUGGCCUAGUUAUUAAAUUGAUUUUUUGGGAUUUUUGUGUUCUGGUUUUCUUUUGUGGUUUUAAACUUCCGUAUUUAUUUGUUUAUUUUUAAUUUAUAGUGUUAGAAUUCCGUGUUGAUUUUUUUGUAAAUUGAUGGCGAUGAUUUGAAUUUAUCCGUGCUUCUAUGAUUAUGAACCAUGAAGCAAAAAGUCAAUGGUUGAAUUGCUUAAUAUAAGCCACUAAUUAAGUUUCUCUUUUGUUACUUAAUUCUUUGGAUUCUUAUUAUCAUUUUUUCAAUGGUCUUCAAAGUGUCAUAAAAUUGAAUUGGUUUUCAUGCACAUUUUUUAAUUGUCUUUUAUGUUCCACAAGAUGAUGAUUUUAUAUUUUUCAGUUAUGUUCUUAAUGUGGUUGAAAACAGCAUGUUUGUUGUUUCGUUUUUCCUUUACAUUAGUUUCAUGGACUACUGAGACAGAGUCGGCUUUGAGGACCAUCAUUAAGCUCAAUGCCAGUUCUGCUUCAGAAUAUUCUUCAUUGAUAAGAUGAUUAAUUUCUGAGCCUUUUAUUCUCUCUUCCUCUAUAUAUGUGCGCUGCAUGUGUUUCGUUAUUCUGUUUUGCUUGUAGCUAUAUAGUAGGAUGAACUUAUGCCUUGGAGAUUCUUGGAGGUUGAUAAAUAUUAGUGUGGUUUUUGUUGGUCAUGUGGGGAAACUUCUUCAUAAUUAAUAAGAUGAGGGCUUUUGCAAAAAAAUUAUGAUUUAUUCUUGUGAUUGUAAGAUAAAUAUCUUUCCAUCUGUAAAUGGUUAAUAGCAAUCUAUCUUUGGGUAUUGGGUGUGCCAUUUUAUUCUAGGGACAUAACUAAAUCUUCCAUGUCUGCAGCUUAGAAUUUGAACCAAGCAGGGUUAGGGUUUUUCCCAUCUAUAAAAAUGGAAACGGGCCGAAGCUUGUCGCUAUCUUUUUUCGCUCCUUUUAUGCUAAGGUUUCUCAUCUGUUGUUGUAGUUUCUCGAUUUCUCUUAUGUCGCUGCAGAUUUUGUUCGUCUUUGCCUUCAUGUUUUCUAUCGUUCCUGAAAACCCUUGCUUUCAUACUUAGAUUUCAGCCAUUAUCAUUUCUCGUACUUUCGAUUUUCAGAGUCCUAUGUAAAACUAGCAGGUAAUAAGAUUUUUUAAUGCAAUAUGUUCAAUCUUACCUCUCACAGGGGGCCUCGUUAUUACCAAAAACCCUAGGAUUUUACAUCCCAUGGAUUUCAAAGGCCUUAAUGUUCCUCAGAAUCUAAGGUUUUAUAACCCUAGAUUUUUCUCUGCUACUUCUGUCAUCGCACGAUGCAAACCCCGGGCUUCUCUUAUAUGUUUUCAUGAAGAUGAAAGCCCCAAUGCCUGUGUAAUAUGAAUCAGUUGUUAAGUGUUGCAGGUUGGCCGAUCUCUCGGUCUAUACCUGUGUCAAAGCAACAACGACAUCUUUGUUUCGCUUUUAAACUUUUGAAGCCUUGUCACCAUUGUAUUUCGUCACCUCAGUGGGUAGUUAAUCAUGUAAAAUGUAAAUAAUAUUGCUGCCUCACCUUAAGCUUGUGGAGAUUGUUGGUGCCACAAAUGCGUAGUCAUGGAGGCAGAAACCAACCAUGGCGAGUUUAACGUGGGCACAUUCCAAUUUCUAAUGGUUUAGUACCUAAAUUCUUCGCCACACUAGUUUGGAUUUUCUGUCAUUUUCUUAUGUUGUUCGUGAUUAUACAAUUCUCCAAUAUUUAGUUUAUUUUUUUUCGGGGAUUGAUUUCGAUGUUUACUGGAUUUCCAUUCGAAGAUAUGAUGUUUUUGUGAAAGUUCCUUAUAUUUGAUCCGAUCAUUCUUUCCUCUGGAUAUUCAUGUAAUAUGAGUUUUCUCUUAUACUUCAAGAGAUCUAGCAUUUCAAUUACAUGAUGAUGAUGUUUUCUGUAUUAUUUUGAUGUUGGUUGUCAUAUUUGUUUGUAUGUUUCUAUUUAUAUGGAAUUAGGACCGCUUGAUUUGGUUUUCGAUCAAUGAAUUGGAUGUUCUUCGUUUGGUUUCCAAUUAAUCAAUUGGGUAUGUUAUUUGCUGAUGAUGAUUUUGUCCAUGUUGGAGAUACUGGGGUUGCAAGUUCUUGUUUUACCUGGAGAACCUAUUUGGAGUAGCCCUUGUAUUGCUAUGACUUUAUUGGGUAUUAAUUGAUGACUUUAAUGCUAAAUUUUUCUUCCAUUUUUUUUUUUAGAAGUUGGAUGUGCUAAUAGAGGCGAUGAUGUGUUUAUUUUGUUCCAUCUUGGAGAUGUCGGGGUUCCAUGUCCUUGUUUACAAGGAGAACCUACUUGGAGUUGCCCUGCAUUCCUAUGACAUCAAUGUAUUUUAUCUGAUGCCAUAACACAUUUUCAUGCUCAAUUAACCACCAAAUGUAUGCUGUUUUAAUUCAUGUAUUAUCACAUUGCAUUAGAUGAAGUAUAUUCUUUGAAUGUGGUGCUUUGAUUUUUAAACGAUUGCCAAGUUUAAAAGCGAAUCUUUUGAACUUUGAAGUAUGAAUGACUUGUGAUUCAGUCAUUUUUUUUUGGAAAUUCCAUGUUCUACGAACAUGGUGCUUUGAUUUUUUCAAGAUUUCCAAGUUUACUUGCAAAUUGUUUGAAGUUUGAAAUAUGAGUAACUUGUGAUUCUGUUGUAUUAUUAUGAAAAAUUCAACGAGGCCGGUGAUGACAAUAUGCGUGUUGGAGGGCAAGGGUUGCAAGUCCUUGAAUACAAGGAGAACCUACUUGGAGUUUCUCUUGCAUUACUGUGACAUUACCGCUGGAUAGUAACUGAGGCCUUGAUGUCUCAUGCCAACAUCUCUUUGCUAAAUUUUUGUCAUAUAAUUGACAUUUUAAAGUGUAUUCCUUGUAUUGUUUUGCCCUACUGGCUAGCAUUUUGAAAUUGUAAAAACAUGUCGAUGCUUAUGUCAAUUUGUGAAGUGUUUUUUUUGGAUUUUUCUUGUGGCCUAGUUAUUAAAUUCUUUUUGGGGGAUUUUUCUGUUCUGGUUUUCUUUUUUUGUUUUAGACUUCCUUAUUUAUUUUUGUUUUUUUUAAUUUAUGGUUUUUCCUUUUCAUGUUGAUUUUUUUUUAAAAUUGAUGGCAAUGAUUUGAAUUUAUCCGCGCUUCUGAGUUUAUGAACCAUGAAGCAAAAAAGUCAUUGGUUGAAUUUCUUAAUAUGAGCCACUAAUUAAGUUUUCUCUUUUGUUACGUAAUUCUUUGGAUUCUUCUUAUCAUUUUUUCAUUGGUCUUUAAAGUGUCAUAAAAUUGAAUAGUUUUUUAUGCGCAUUUCUUAAUUAUCUUUCAUGUUUUGAUGAUUUUAUAUUUUCCAGUUAUUUUCUUAAUGUGGUUGAAAACACUAUCUAUGUUGUUUGGUUUUUCCUUUAUAUUAGUUUCUUGGACUACUGAGACAGAGUCGGCUGUGAGGACCAUCAUUCAGCAUAAUGCCAGUUCUGCUCCAGAAAAUUCUUGAUUGAUAAGCUGAUUAAUACCUGAGCCUUUUAUUCUCUCGUCCUGUAUGUAUGUGCACUGUUUGUGUUUCGUUAUUCUGUUUUGCUUGUAGUUGUAUAGUAGGAUGAACUUAUGCCAUGGAGAUCCUUGGAGGUUGAUAAAUCUUAGUGUGGUUUUUAUCGGUCAUGUUGGGAAACUUCUUUAUAAUUAAUAACAUGUGGGAUUUUUCAAAAAAAUUAUGAUUUAUUCUUGUGAUUGUAAGAUAAACAUCUUUCCUCCUGUAAAUGGUUAAUAGCAAUCUAUCUUUAGGUAUUGGGUGUGCCAUUCGAUUCUAGGGACAUCACUUAAUCUUCGUUGUUUGCAGAUUAGAAUAUAAACCAAGCAGGCAUAGGGUUUUCCCAUCUAUAAAAGUGGAAACGGGCCGAAGCUUGUCGCUAUCUUUUUUCUCUCAUUUUGUUAUUUGAUGUCAUAUUUAUUUGUAUUUUCUAUUUCUAUAGAAUUAGGACCACUUGAUUUGGUUUGCGAUCACUUUAUUCGACGUUCUUUGUUUGGUUUUCAAUUAAUCAAUUGGGUAUGUUAUUUGUUGAUGAUGAUUUUUUCCAUGUUUGAGAUAUUGGGUUUCCAAGUCCUAAUUUUUCAAGGGGAGCCUACUUGGCGAAGCCCUUGUAUUGCUAUGGCUUUAUUGGAUGUUAAAUGAUGGCUUUAAUGCUAAAUUUAUCGUCCAUUUUUUUUUUCUUAAAGUUGGAUGUGCUAAAAGAGGCGAUGAUGUUUUGAUUUUGUUCCAUCUUGGAGAUGCAGGGGUUCCAAGACCUUGUUCACAAGGAGACCUACUUCGAGUUGCCCCUGCAUUCCUAUUACAUCAAUGGAUUUUAUCUGAUGCCAUGGCGCAUUUUCAAGCUCGAUCAAUCCCCAAGUGUUUGCUGUUUUAAUUCUUGCAUUAUCACAUUGCAUUCGGUGAAGUAAAUUCUUUGAAAAUGGUGCUUUGAUUUUUAAAAAAUUUCCAAGUUUAUUAGCGAAUUAUUUGGACUUUGAGGUAUGAAUGACUUGUGAUUCAGUCUUUUUUUUUUGGAAAAUUCAGUGUUCUAUGAACAUGGUGCAUUGAUUUUUACGAGAUUUCCAAGUUUAAUAGCAAAUUUUUUGAAGUUUGAAGUAUGAGUGACUUGUGGUUGUUUCGUAUUAUUAUGAAAAAUUCAGUGAGGCCGGUGACGACAAUAUGCGUGUUGGAGGGCAAGGGUUUCAAGUCCUUGAAUACAAGGAGAACCUAGUCGGAGUUGCCUUUGCAUUACUGUGACAUUACCGCUGGAUCGUAACUGAGGUCUUGAUGUCUCUUGCCAACAUCUGUUUGCUAAAUUUGUCAUAUAAUUGACAUUGGAAACUAUAUUCCAUAUAUUGUUUUGCCAUACUGACUAGCAUUUUGAAAUUGUAAAAACAUAUCAUUGCUUAUGUCAAUUUGUUAGGCGUUUUGUUUGAAUUUUUCUUGUGGCCUUGUUAUUAAAUUGCUUUAUGCGGAUUUUUGUUUCUUCCUUUUCUUUUGUGGUUUUAAAUUUCCUUAUUUUUGUUUUUUUUAUUUUUUAUUUAUUUAUUUUUUAUUUUUAAUUUCUUGUUUUACAUUUCCAUGUUGAUUUUUAUGUAAAUUGAUGGCGAUGAGUUGAAUUUAUCCGCGCUUCUGAGUUUAUGAACCAUGAAGAACACAAGUCAAUGGUUGAAUAUGUUACUAUGAGCCACUAAUUAGGUUUUCUCUUUUGUUACUUAAUUCUUUGGAUUCUUAUUAUCGUUUUGUCAAUGGUCUUCCAAGUGUCAUAAAAUUGAAUAGUUUUUUAUGCACUUUUUUAAUUUAAUGUUUCCUCAGCAUUUUAAUUAUCUUUCAUGUUCCAAAAGUUGAUAUUUUUAUAUUUUCCAGUUAUGUUCUUAAUGGGGUUGAAAGCACCAUGUUUGUUGUUUGGUUUUUCCUUUAUAUUAGUUUCUUGGACUACUGAGACAGAGUCGGCUGUGAGGACCAUCAUUCAGCUUAAUGCCAGUUCUGCUUCAGAAAAUUCUUGAUUGAUAAGCUGAUUAAUACCUGAGCCUUUUAUUCUCUUGUCCUCUAUAUAUGUGCACUGUUUGUGUUUCGUUAUUCUCUUUUGCUUGUAGCUGUAUCGUAGGAUGGACUUAUGCCAUGGAGAUCCUUAAGAGGUUGAUAAAGAUUAGUGUGGUUUUUAUUGGUCAUGUGGGGAAACUUCUUUAUAAUUAAUAACAUGAGGGCUUUUGCAAAAAAAUUAUGAUUUAUUCUUGUGAUUGUAAGAUAAACAUCUUUCCACCUGUAAAUGGUUAAUAGCAAUCUAUCUUUGGGUAUUGGGUGUGCCAUUUGAUUCUAGGGACAUAACUGAAUCUUCCAUGUCUGCAGUUUAAAUAUGAACCGAGCAGGGUUGGGGUUUUUCCCAUCUAUAAAAGUGGAAACAGGCUGAAGCUUGUCGCUGUCUUUUUUCUCUCCUUUUAUGCUAGGUUUUCUCUUCUAUUGCUGCAGUUUCUAGGUUUUUCAUAUGUUGCUGCAGGUUUUGUUCAUCUCUGCCUUCAUGUUUCUAUCGUUCUUGCAAACCCUAGCCUUCAUAGUCAGAUUUCAGCCAUUAUGAUUUUUCGUACUUUCGAUUUUCAGAGUUUCCUAUGUAUAACGAGCAGGUAAUAAGAUUUUUUUAUGCAAUAUGUUGAGACUUACCUCUCACAGGGAGUCUCGUUAGUACCAAAAACCCUAGGAUUUUACAUCCCAUGGAAACCAAAGGCUUUAAUGUUCCUCAAAAUCUAAGGUUUUACAAACUAGGAUUUUUCUAUGCUACUUCCGUCAUCGCACGAUGCAAACCCCGGGCUUCUCUUAUAUGUUUUCAUGAAGAUGAAAGCCCCAAUGCCCGUGCAAUAUGAAUCAGCUGUUGAGUGUUGCAGGUUGGCCGAUCUAUCGGUCUAUACCUGUGUCAAAGCAACAACGACAUCUUUGUUUCGCUUUUAAAAUUUUGAAGCCUUGUCACCAUUGUAUUUCGUCACCUCAGUGGGUAGUUAAUCGUGUAAAAUGUAAAUAAUAUUGAUGCCUCACCUUAAGCGCUUUGAGAUUAUUGGUGCCACGAAUGCGUUGUCAUGGAGGCCGAAACCAACCAUGGCGAGUUUAACGUGGGCACGUUCCGAUUUCUAAUGGUUUAGUAUCUAAAAAGAAAGCCACAUUAGUUUGGAUUUUCUGUCAUUUUCUUAUGUUGUUCUAGAUUAUACAAUUCUCCGAUACUUAGUUUUUUUUUUUUCGGGGUUUGAUUUCGAUGUUAACUGAAUUUCCAUUCCAAGAUAUGAUGUUUUUGUGAAAGUUCCUUAUAUUUGAUCCGAUCAUUCUUUCCUCUGGAUAUUCAUGUAAUAUGAGUUUUCUCUUAUAUUUCAAGACAUCUAGCAUUUCAAUUACAUUAUGAUGAUGUUUUCUGUAUUAUUUUGAUGUUGGUUGUCAUAUUUGUUUUGUAUGUUUCUAUUUCUAUAGAAUUAGGACCACUUGAUUUGGUUUUCGAUCAACGAAUUGGAUGUUCUGCGUUUGGUUUCCAAUUAAUCAAUUGGGUAUGUUAUUUGCUGAUGAUAAUUUUGUUCAUGUUGGAGAUACUGGGGUUCCAAGUCCUUGUUUUACAAGGAGAACCUGCUUGGAGUAGCCCUUGUAUUGCUAUUACUUUAUUGGAUAUUAAUUGAAGACUUUAAUGCUAAAUUUAUCUUCCAUUUUUUUUGCUAGAAGUUGGAUGUGCUAAUAGAGGCGAUGAUGUUUUGAUUUUGUUCCAUCUUGGAGAUGUCGGGGUUCCAUGUCCAUGUUCACAAGGAGAACCUACUUGGAGUUGCCCCUGCAUUCCUAUCACAUCAAUGGAUUUUAUCUGAUACCAUAACGCAUUUUCAUGCUCAAUCAACCACCUAGUUUAUGCUGUUUUAAUUCAUGUUAUUUCACAUUGCAUUAGAUUAAGUAAAUUCUUUGAAUGUGGUGCUUUGAUUAUUAAAAGAUUGCCAAGUUUAAUAACGAAUUGUUUGAACUUUGAAGUAUGAAUGACUUGUGAUUCUGUUAUUUUUUUUUGGAAAAUUCCAUGUUCUACGAACAUGGUGCUUUGAUUUUUACAAGAUUUCCAAGUUUAAUAGUUAAUUUGUUUGAAGUUUGAAAUAUGAGUGACAUGUGAUUCUGUCGUAUUAUUAUGAAAAAUUCAGCAAGGCCGGUGACGACAAUAUGCGUGUCGGAGGGCAAGGGUUCCAAGUCCUUGAAUACAAGGAGAACCUACUUGGAGUUGCUCUUGCAUUACUGUGACAUUACCGCCGGAUAGUAACUGAGGCCUUGAUGUCUCAUGCCAACUUCUGUUUGCUAAACUUUUGUCAUAGAAUUAACAUUGGAAACUGUAUUCCUUGUAUUGUUUUGCCAUACUGACUAGCAUUUUGAAAUUGUAAAAACAUGUCAAUGCUUAUGUCAAUUUGUGAGGUGUUUUGUUUGGAUUUUUCUUGUGGCCUAGUUAUUAAAUUGCUUUUUGGGGAUUUUUGUGUCUUGGCUUUCUUUUGUGGUUUUAAAGUUCCUUAUUUUUUUUUGUUUUUUUUAAUUUAUGGUUUUAUAGUUCCAUGUUGAUUUUUUUAAAAAAUUGAUGGCAAUGAUUUGAAUUUAUCCGCGCUUCUGAGUUUAUGAACCAUGAAGCAAGAAAGUCAAUGUAAUAUGAGCUACUAAUUAAGGAUUCUCUUUUGUUACGUAAUUCUUUGGAUUCUUAUUAUCAUUUUUUCAAUGGUCUUCAAAGUGUCAUAAAAUUGAAUAGUUUUUUAUGCACAUUUUUUAAUUAUCUUUCAUGUUCCAAAAGUUGAUAUUUUUAUAUUUUCCAGUUAUGUUCUUAAUGGGGUUGAAAGCACCAUGUUUGUUGUUUGGUUUUUCCUUUAUAUUAGUUUCUUGGACUACUGAGACAGAGUCGGCUGUGAGGACCAUCAUUCAGCUUAAUGCCAGUUCUGCUUCAGAAAAUUCUUGAUUGAUAAGCUGAUUAAUAUUUGAGCCUUUUAUUCUCUUGUCCUCUAUAUAUGUGCACUGUUUGUGUUUCGUUAUUCUCUUUUGCUUGUAGCUGUAUCGUAGGAUGAACUUAUGCCAUGGAGAUCCUUAAGAGGUUGAUAAAUAUUAGUGUAGUUUUUAUUGGUCAUGUGGGGAAACUUCUUUAUAAUUAAUAACAUGAGGGCUUUUGCAAAAAAAUUAUGAUUUAUUCUUGUGAUUGUAAGAUAAAUAUCUUUCCCCCUGUAAAUGGUUAAUAGCAAUCUAUCUUUGGGUAUUGGGUGUGUCAUUUCAUUCUAGGGACAUAACUGAAUCUUCCAUGUUUGCAGGUUAGAAUAUAAACCAAGCAGGGCUAGGGUUUUUCCCAUCUAUAAAAGUGGAAACGGGCUGAAGCUUGUCGCUAUCCUUUUUUCUCUCAUUUUAUUCUUGGGUUUCUUAUCUAUGGCUGCAGUUUCUAAGUUUCUCAUAUGUCGCUGCAGUUUUUGUUCGUCUCUGCCUUCAUGUUUUCUAUCGUUUCUGAAAGCCCUGGCCUUCAUACACGGAUUUCGGCCAUUACGAUUUCUCGUACUUCCGAUUUUCAGCGUUUUCUAUGUAAAAUGAGUAGGUAAUAAGAUUUUUUAAUGCAAUGUGUUCAGGCUUACCUCUCACAGGGAGCCUGGUUAGCACCAAAAACCCCUCGGAUUUUACAUCCCAUGGAUUUCAAAGGCCUUAAUGUUCCUCAAAAUCUAAGGUUUUGUAACCCAAGAUUUUUCUCUGCUACUUCUGUCAUCGCACGAUGCAAACCCCGGGCUUCUCUUGUAUGUUUUCAUGAAGAUGAAAGGCCCAAUGCCCGUGCAAUAUGAAUCAGCUGUUGAGUGUUGCAGAUUGGCCGAUCUCUCGGUCUAUAGCUGUGUCAAAGCAACAACAACAUCUUUGUUUAGCUAUUAAAAUUUUGAAGCCUUGUGACCGUUGUAUUUCGUCACCUCAGUGGGCAGUUAAUCAUGUAAAAUGUAAAUAAUAUUGAUGCCUCACCUUAAGCUUGUGGAGAUUUUUGGUGCCACAAAUGCGCAGUCAUGGAGGCAGAAACCAACCAUGGUGAGUUUAACGUGGGCACAUUCUGAUUUCUAAUGGUUUAGUGUCUAAAAUACUUCUCCAUAUUGGUUUGGAUUUUCUUUCAUUUUCUUUAAUUCUCUGUCAUUUUCUUAUGUUGUUCUAGAUUGUAGUAUUUUCCUAUUUUUAGUUUAUUUUUUCGGGGUUCUAUUUCGAUGUUUAUUGGAUUGCCAUUCCAAGAUAUGAUGUUUUUGUGAAUGUUCCUUAUAUUUGUUUCGAUCAUCUCACUCCUCCGGAUAUUCAUGUAGUAUGAGUUUUCUCUUAUAUUUCAAGACUUAUAGUGUUUCAAUUGCAUGAUGAUGAUGUUUUAUGUAUUAUUUUGAUAUUUGAUGUCGUAUUUAUUUGUAUCUAUUUCUAUUGAAUUAGGACCACUUGAUUGGGUUUGCGAUUAUUGAAUUCGAUGUACUUUGUUUGGUUUGCAAUUAAUCAAUUGGGUAUGUUAUUUGCUGAUGAUGAUUUUGUCCAUGUUGGAGAUACUGGGGUUCUAAGUCCUUGUUUUACAAUGAGAAUCUACUUGGCGUAGCCCUUGUAUUGCUAUGACUUUAUUGGAUAUUAAAUGAUGGCUUUAAUACUAAAUUUUUGUUUUUUUUGUUUUUUUUCUUAAAGUUGGAUGUGCUAAAAAGGCGAUGAUGUUUUGAUUUUGUUCCAUCUUGGAGAUGCAGGGG